ACUGAGGGGCGAGACCACCCGCCCGUUCGCGGGCGGAGUGGGCACGCCUCGCACGCCACCGGCACUUGUGCCGGCAAGCGGUUGUUCAGUGACGGUUGGUCGCCAUGAGAACACUCCGCGCGGCGUGACGGGCGUCAGAGCCCCCGAGAAAUCGAACGAACUGACGGAAGGACGAAGCCGAUCUCGCAGGCGGCAGGCCGUGGUACCCAUGAUGGUUUAAAGGCCCCUAGCUGGGUCGCCAACGGCCUCCGACCUUGGUGAGCGGCUCCUUGAACGGUGAUGCGGGGCGCGGUCUGGCGUGACCUCCCUUGUGGUCGCACGCCGCGCGCCUCGCGAAACAAAGGACGGACCUGUCCGAAGGUGUCAUGUGAAUGGCUUGUAACGCACAACCCUGAACGGUGGAUCACUCGGCUCGUGGGUCGAUGAAGAACGCAGCAAAUUGCGCGUCGACAUGUGAACUGCAGGACACAUGAACAUCGACGUUUCGAACGCACAUUGCGGUCCUUGGAUUUCCAAUCCCGGACCACGCCUGGCUGAGGGUCGGCAUUCUGAAACCACUGGGCCCGCCGCGUACGGCUGCGGGCCCGAAGCUGAGGGCACUCCCGCUCACCUUCCCCGGUGGGAUCGGGCGACGCUCUUGAAGACUGCAAUAGCGCUGUUGUGUGGGCUACCGCGCCCUCCGGCGCCCGGCUUGAGAGGGGUCAAUUCUUGAACGAGACAGGAGCCGGGCGCGAGAGUGUACGAGAGAGAGAUCUCUCUGUACUAGCGAGGGCACUAGCGGCCGCUCCACACAAACACAGUAGCUUUUACACUCUACAUCCGACCUCAGAUCAGGCGAGACUACCCGCUGAAUUUAA
rnacentral:rRNA from 1 species